rnacentral:rRNA from 1 species
CCUACGGGAGUCAGCAGUAGGGAAUCUUUCACAAUGGGCGAAAGCCUGAUGGAGCAACGCCGCGUGCAGGAUGAAGGCCUUCGGGUUGUAAACUGCUUUUAUAAGCGAGAAAUAUGAUGGUAACUUAUGAAUAAGGAUCGGCUAACUACGUGCCAGCAGCCGCGGUCAUACGUAGGAUCCGAGCAUUAUCCGGAGUGACUGGGUGUAAAGAGUUGCGUAGGUGGCAUAAUAAGUAGCUAGUGAAAUCUGGUGGCUCAACCAUUCAGACUAUUAGCUAAACUGUUAAGCUCGAGACCGUUAGGGGUAACUGGAAGUUCUAGUGUAGGAGUGAAAUCCGUAGAUAUUAGAAGGAACACCAAUAGCGUAGGCAGGUUGCUGGGACGGUUCUGACACUAAGGCACGAAAGCGUAGGGAGCAAACGGGAUUAGAUACCCGAGUAGUC